UGGGGAAUAUUGGACAAUGGGCGGAAGCCUGAUCCAGCCAUGCCGCGUGUGUGAAGAAGGCCUUUUGUUUGUAAAGCACUUUAAGCGAGGAGGAGGCUACUUGGAUUAAUACUCUAGGAUAGUGGACGUUACUCGCAGAAUAAGCACCGGCUAACUCUGUGCCAGCAGCCGCGGUAAUCAAGAGGGUGCGAGCGUUAAUCGGAUUUACUGGGCGUAAAGCGUGCGUAGGCGGCUUCUUAAGUCGGAUGUGAAAUCCCUGAGCUUAACUUAGGGAGUGCAUUCGAUACUGGGAAGCUAGAGUAUGGGAGAGGAUGGUAGAAUUCCAGGUGUAGCGGUGAAAUGCGUAGAGAUCUGGAGGAAUACCGAUGGCGAAGGCAGCCAUCUGGCCUAAUACUGACGCUGAGGUACGAAAGCAUGGGGAGCAAACAGG
rnacentral:rRNA from 1 species